GACGAACGCUGGCGGCGUGCUUAACACAUGCAAGUCGAACGAAGUGGCGAACGGGUGAGUAACGCGUAAUCAACCUGCCCUUCAGAGGGGGACAACAGUUGGAAACGACUGCUAAUACCGCAUAAUGAAGGAGGGGAUUGCGUCGGAUUUGCUAGUUGGAGGGGUAACGGCCAACCAAGGCGAUGAUCAGUAGCCGGUCUGUGAAGAUGAACGGCCCAAUUGGGACUGAGACACGGCCCGGACUCCUACGGGAGGCAGCAGGGGGGAAUCUUCCGAAAUGGACGAAAGUCUGACGGGGCAACGCCGCGUGAGUGAUGACGGCCUUCGGGUUGUAAAGCUCUGUUAAUCGGGACGCGGUACCGGAAUAGAAAGCCACGGCUAACUACGUGCCAGCAGCCGCGGUAAUAC
rnacentral:rRNA from 1 species